rnacentral:rRNA from 1 species
CAAAACUCAAAAACUUAGUCUCAGUUCGGAUUGUAGGCUGAAACUCGCCUACAUGAAGCUGGAGUUGCUAGUAAUCGCGAAUCAGCAUGUCGCGGUGAAUACGUUCCCGGGCCUUGUACACACCGCCCGUCACACCAUGAGAGUUGGCAAUACCCAACGUACGUGAUCUAACCCGCAAGGGAGGAAGCGUCCUAAGGUAGGGUCAGCGAUUGGGGUGAAGUCGUAACAAGGUAUC